AACCUCAUAGAAAGAAGAAGCUGAAAUCUGAUAGAAAGAAGAAGCAUUCACACAGGUGCUACACUCAGCUGGGGCGGAACCAAUCUGCGGCUGCAGGUUUGCUACCUGCAGCAUAAAAAGGGACACACGCAGCACUGAGGAGGAACGGAGAAUGAAUGACCUCCUCAAACAAAGUGGCUGUGAGCGUGAGGAUCUGCGGAAAACUGUGCAGGACUGCUUCAUCUACAAAAAUCCGGGUAGCAGCCGAUAAUGAAGUGCUGCCUAAGCAAGACAAACCGCAUAGGGAUCUACUCAAGAGGCCACCUGACUACCAAGUUAGCUGUUUAAUUAGUAAACUACUGUUCAUCAGUAGUAAUAGGGUGGAUUCCAGUCAUCCUUCUUCCCAGCAACAUUUUGUAGCUUCAACCUGGAGCUUCCCAAUGCAUCCCGAGGCCAGAUGAGAUAUGUAAUCCCUUCAGCGAGUUCUGGGCUCGUCUUGGGGUCUCUUCUCUCAUGAGUGCAUCCAGAAAACUUCCAAUGGAAGGCACCCAAGAAGCAACGUGAUUACAAAGGUGAGCCUACUUCAAGCUUCUUCCAGAAAGUCAU